GCCACCAUGCUCAGUGGUUAGAGCACUGUUCUUGUAAAUCCGGGUCGUGAGUUCAAUCCACUGGUGGCU